UGGAUUUCCGGCGUGAGGGAUCAGUCUGACUUCUAGUCAGUACUUGGUCCUCUCAUGCCGUCCUUGAAUGGUGCAUCCUGGCAUUAAGUUGUCGGGGUGAGAGCCGUUCAUCGUUUACUGUGAGAAAAUUAGAGUGUUCAAAGCAGGCUUAUGCCGUUGAAUAUAUUAGCAUGGAAUAAUAAGAUAGGACUUUGGUACUAUUUUGUUGGUUUGAGAACCAAGGUAAUGAUCAAUAGGGACAGUUGGGGGUAUUCGUAUUCAGUUGUCAGAGGUGAAAUUCUUAGAUUUCCGGAAGACGAACUACUGCGAAAGCAUUUACCAAGGAUGUUUUCAUUAAUCAAGAACGAAAGUAUGGGGAUCGAAGAUGAUUAGAU
rnacentral:rRNA from 1 species